rnacentral:rRNA from 1 species
UACGGGGGGAGCAAGCGUUGUUCGGAUUUACUGGGCGUAAAGGGCGCGUAGGCGGCGCAACAAGUCACUUGUGAAAUCUCCGGGCUUAACCCGGAGCGGUCAAGUGAUACUGUCGUGCUAGAGUGCGGAAGGGGCUACUUGAAUUCUCGGUGUAGCGGUGAAAUGCGUAGAUAUCGAGAGGAACACCUGCGGCGAAGGCGGGUAGCUGGGCCGACACUGACGCUGAUGCGCGAAAGCCAGGGGAGCGAACGGG